CGGGAAAGAGGCUUGGAGGGAUGUCCUGGGAACUGCACGGAUUCCUCCCCGCCCCCCACGCUGUGUACUCUUUGAUGAUGGAAUCCCUACCCCUUUAUUCAUCUUCGAGCCCUAGCACAUGGCAUGGUAUCUUAUGGACAUCGUAAUAAUAUAACCUGGAGCAACUACUGACACACCUGGCCACUGUCAGAGUGAUGGAGGAGGCGUUCAUCUUUGGUGCCCUAAUGCUCUGAAUCCAACCUUAUCCUAUAUGUUCUCUCAGUAGCCAUUCCAGAAAGGAAAAUCCUAUAAAAUUUGCUUCACGUGUAGAUUUACUGAUCUUCAUUAAACAAAAGAUUGUGACACAUU